GCCUGGGUGGCUCAGUCGGUUAAGCGUCCGACUUCGGCUCAGGUCAUGAUCUUGUGGUUUGUGAGUUCGAGCCCCACAUCAGGCU
rnacentral:tRNA from 1 species